UAUUUUGGUGAGAGGUGUUCAGAAAGGACCAAGGUCAGUAGAAGAUGGAGAAGAAAGCCUUGUGUCUCAUUGUCACAAUUUUCUCGGAAUAGUCAGAAAUCUGGGACAGAAAUUGACAUCGAUCUGUUAUGGAACACAUUUGCCAGUAAACAGAUGGUGAGAGGUUUGCUCCAGCUGUGAACGCGUCUUCCGUCUUAAACAAUGUAAGGACAUUUUGGCAGUGACUCAACCGUGCACGAGAAGAUUGAAUACGUUCUCCAUCAAUGACGUCGGACUCGUGUUCCACAGCUGCUGCAUCCAUGUCAAGAUUACAUGUCGCAUGUCAGAGUUUGUCUGCUAGUAAAUUUGUAGGGUUAACAUUUAAAUGAAGUGUUACGUUUACUUUGGGUUGUGAUGUUCGUCAUCAGAACGUGUAUCAAAUGAAAAGUCGGAUGUUAGGAGUAUUUGAAAGGACUAAGGCCUUGUUCACAGCCAGUUGAUCCGCAGACUAACUAGUUGAAAGCCCCACUUGAAAGCAAGCCUGGAUUUAAUUGCUCUCCCCUGCUGGAACGGCGCGCGUGGGAGGCGGGAAAUCCACUGUCAUGUACGCACCAUAUUUGAUCCACGGACUAGAUAGACCGCGGAUCAUCUGGUUGUGAACACGGUCUAAUUCUAUAGCAAGCGUCAGCCCUGUAUGCCACUGGUUUGCUAUUGUACAUAUAAACAUAUGUAUGUUAACAGGUUGUUGUACUUUACUCUCCCCGCUCAUGGUGUUUUAAUGGUAAUUUUCUAGUGCAUUUGGUUUAGGGGGAGGUAAACUUCGGGUCUCGAAAAUGAAAACGACUUUUUAAAAGUUCUCCUAUAAUAUGAAUAUUGCCAAUGCAACAAGUGGCUUGCUUUAUUUACGUCUAAAUCGGUUGUGGUUUUUGUCAAAUUGUCACCAAGAAGAGUGCUUGCUACAAACAGGACGACCGUUUUCCAUUCUGAUGGUAAUAUAUUUGUGAGGGCAAAUCUGCAGUUUGGCAUUUCACUGUAAACAAUCAUUUAUUUAAAAUUGAAUCCUAAUAUUUAUUUUGAUGAAGUUAACUUUAGAGAAGAAAAAAAACGUCCCAACCGUGUAAAUGCAUCUAUAGAAGUUGUUGAACGUUAUAUUGUUAUAUUUAUUGUUCAGUCGAAGAAGAAAAUGCGAUGCGUAUUUACCAAAAGAAAUUAGACAGUUCGCUGCAAUUUGAAUAGUAAUUUAUUUCGGUAUAUUAUCUUCAUUAAGGGGUUUAUGUAGGACUGACAUUCAUCAGAAACUUUUACAUUCUGAAUUCUCGACAAAUUCUUGACAAAUUCGAAUCAAUCACUUUAGUUGCCAAAAAGCCGAUUUGUUAGGGUAAUGAUCAGAGGCAGAUCCAGGAAUAUUUGAAGGGGGGUCCGCAGAUGCAAAGCCGACUCGUUAACCUCCCCCCC